GAUGAACGCUGGCGGCGUGCCUAAUACAUGCAAGUCGAGCGAACAGACGAGGAGCUUGCUCCUUUGACGUUAGCGGCGGACGGGUGAGUAACACGUAGGUAACCUACCUAUAAGACUGGGAUAACUUCGGGAAACCGGCGCUAAUACCGGAUAAUAUUUCGAACCGCAUGGUUCGAUAGUGAAAGAUGGCUUUGCUAUCACUUAUAGAUGGACCUGCGCCGUAUUAGCUAGUUGGUAAGGUAACGGCUUACCAAGGCAACGAUACGUAGCCGACCUGAGAGGGUGAUCGGCCACACUGGAGGUGAAACGCGGUCCAUGCGCCUGAGGUAGGCAGCAGUAGGGAAUCGGCCGCAGUAGGCGAAAGCCUGACGGAGCAGCGCCGCGUGAGUGAUGAAGGUCUUCGGAUCGUAAAACUCUGUUAUGAGGGAAGAACAAACGUGUAAGUAACUGUGCACGUCUUGACGGUACCUAAUCAGAAAGCCACGGCUAACUACGUG
rnacentral:rRNA from 1 species